ensembl:lncRNA
GCUCACAUGGGGGCUAGAUCACAAUGUGGUUUGCGGAGGGAUGCCGUUUCACUUCCCACAACCCUCUCUGCACCUUGUCACAGACGCUUCAUCUCUGGGUUGGGGGGCCGAUCUCAGCGAACACCAUACCCAGGGCCUGUGGACUGCACCCCAGAUAGCUCUGCACAUCAAUGUUCGGGAACUGAUGGCGGUGCGCCUGGUGUGCCAGGCAUUUCUCAAUCUCCUACGUGGCCUCCGGGUGUUAGUUCUCAUCAACAACGGCACGGCCAUGUUGAAGAUCAACAAGCAAGGAGGAGCACGUUCGUCAAUUCUAUGCCACGAGAACAUUUGACUGUUGGGCUUCUGCAUCGCCCACUUAAUCCUUCUCAUGGCAUCGUUCCUCCCUGGAGUCCAGAACACUUUAGCGGACCGACUCAGCAGGUCCUUUCAAACACACGAGUGGUCUAUCCGUCCGGACAUCAUACAUUCCGUUUUCCAGAAGUGGGGAUUUCCCCAGAUAGACCUGUUUGCUUCUCGAGACAACAGGAAGUGCCACGUAUUCUGCUCCCUGCAAGGUCGAGCUCCGGGCUCCCUCUCGGAUGCAUUUCUCCUUCCCUGGAAAGACCACCUGUUUUAUGCCUUCCCUCCGUUUCCUCUGGUCCACAAGGUUCUGCUCAAAUUGCGCAGAGACCAGGCACAGGUGAUUCUGAUCGCCCCAGCGUGGCCGAGACAACAUUGGUACACCACACUGUUGGAACUCUCGGUUCAGACACCGAUCCCGCUUCCAUUAUGCCCGGAUCUCAUCUCUCAGGACCACGGUCGCCUGCGUCACCCCGACCUGCAAUCACUCCACCUCACGGCGUGGCUGCUCCAUGGUUCACCCAGGCAGAGCAGCAAUGCUCGCACUCUGUCCAACAGAUUGUGCUGAGCAGUAGGAAGCCCUCAACACGGACCACGUACCUGGCCAAGUGGAAGCGGUUCUCCUGUUGGUGCGAACGACGAGCCACGUCCCCGUUACAGGCACCUAUUCCUCUCAUAUUGGAAUAUCUCCUCUCCCUAAAACAGCAAGGGUUGGCGAUAUCUUCAAUUAGAGUUCACCUGGCCGCUAUAUCAGCCUUUCACCCAGGAGAACUCGCGUCCUCGGUAUUCUCUAACCCGAUGGUCGUUAGAUUCCUCAAGGGCUUAGACCGGAUGUACCCACAACAACGUCAGCCCGUUCCGACGUGGGACCUCAACCUGGUUCUCUCCAAGCUCACAGGCCGUCCAUUCGAGCCACUGGCCACCUGUUCACUUCUGUACCUAUCCUGGAAGACAGCCUUCCUCGUAGCCAUCACCUCAGCAAGGCGCGUUUCUGAACUCAGGGCGCUUACAUCUGAGCCCCCUUACACGGUUUUCCAUAAGUGCAGCUUCGUCCACAUCCUGCCUUGCUCCCUAAAGUGGUUUCUCCAUUUCAUAUCAACCAGGAUCUAUUUCUCCCGGUUUUUCACCCUAAACCACAUGCUUCUCGCCAGGAUCAACGUUUGCAUUCCCUGGACGUACGCAGGGCCCUGGCCUUCUACAUUGACCGCACAAGGCAUUUUAGAAAGACGACGCAACUCUUUGUUGCAGUGGCCGACCGAAUGAAAG